CCUACGGGCGGCAGCAGUGAGGAAUAUUGGUCAAUGGUCGGGAGACUGAACCAGCCAAGCCGCGUGAGGGAUGAAGGUACAGAGAAUCGUAAACCUCUUUUGUCAGGGAACAAAGGCGGGGACGUGUCCCCGGAUGAGUGUGCCUGAAGAAAAAGCAUCGGCUAACUCCGUGCCAGCAGGCGCGGUAAUACGGAGGAUGCGAGCGUUAUCCGGAUUUACUGGGUUUAAAGGGUGCGCAGGCGGUUCUGUAAGGUAGACGGCAAAGCCCGGGGCCCAACCCCCGCCCGGCCUUUGAAACUGUCAGUCUCGAGUUGGAGAGAGGUAUGCGGAAUGCGCGGUGUAGCGGUGAAAUGCAUAGAUAUCGCGCAGAACUCCGAUUGCGAAGGCAGCUUACCGGCUCAACACUGACGCUGAGGCACGAAAGCGUGGGUAUCGAACAGGAUUAGAUACCCCAGUAGUC
rnacentral:rRNA from 1 species